GUGACGAAGCGACGCCGCGUGUGGGAAGAAGGCCUUCGGGUUGUAAACCACUGUCGGGAGUUAAGAAAUGUAAGGGUGCUAAUAGUAUCCUUACUUGACUAAGGCUCCGGAGGAAGCCGCGGCUAACUCUGUGCCAGCAGCCGCGGUAAUACAGAGGUGGCAAGCGUUGUUCGGAAUUAUUGGGCGUAAAGAGCACGUAGGCGGUCUUAUAAGUCAGUUGUGAAAGCCUUCUGCUUAACGGAAGAACAGCAUCUGAGACUGUAGGGCUAGAGUGCGGAAGGGGAGAGUGGAACUUCUGGUGGAGCGGUGAAAUGCGUAGAUAUCAGAAGGAACACCGGCGGCGAAGGCGACUCUCUGGUCCGUAACUGACGCUGAGUGUGCGAAAGCUAGGGGAGCAAACGGGAUUAGAUACCCCGGUAGUCCUAGCCGUAAACGAU
rnacentral:rRNA from 1 species